rnacentral:tRNA from 1 species
GCCAUCCUAGCUCAGUUGGUAGAGCGACGCAUUCGUAAUGCGUAGGUCGUCGGUUCAAAUCCGAUGGAUGGCUCCA